AACGAACGCUGGCGGCAUGCCUAACACAUGCAAGUCGAACGAGAUCUUCGGGUCUAGUGGCGCACGGGUGCGUAACGCGUGGGAAUCUGCCCUCUGGUUCGGAAUAACAGUUGGAAACGACUGCUAAUACCGGAUGAUGACGCAAGUCCAAAGAUUUAUCGCCAGAGGUUGAGCCCGCGUAGGACUAGCUCGUUGGAGUGGUAAAGGCGCACCAAGGCGACGAUCCUUAGCUGGCCUGAGAGGAUGAUCAGCCACACUGGGACUGAGACACGGCCCAGAAUCGUACGGAAGGGAGUAGUGGGGAAUAUUGGAGAAGGGGCGAAAGCCUGAUCCAGCAAUGCCGCGUGAGUGAUGAAGGCCUUAGGGUUGUAAAGCUCUUGUACCCGGGAUGAUAAUGACAGUACCCGGCGAAUAAGCGCCGGCUAACUCCGUGCCAGCCGCCGCAGUAA
rnacentral:rRNA from 1 species